CCUGUUGCUGGCGCUGCUGAAGCAUAAACAUAUUUUAUAGUAAUUCAGUGCGCGCGUUUUAGUCCAGCUAUAGUGAAAUACACGUCGGUCCCGUAGUUAGAUUUCAAAGUAUCAUUAUUCAUUAACAUACAAACAAAACAAACUCAAUCAUGCCUAGAUCAAAAGUUGUACAUGGUAUGAUAGCAAUGGACGACGUAUCUGACAAUAACAAAAUAUGGAGAAUGCUGUUUGCCGAAUUUUUGGGCACGGCUAUUCUAUUGUUUCUUGGCUGUGGCAGCAUUAUGUGGCUUGACGGAUUAGGUUCAUCGGCUAUCAUACAAAUCUCUCUGACUUUUGGUUUCACAAUAGCAACACUAGUACAGAUAUUCGGUCAGACCAGUGGAUGUCAUAUCAACCCAGCAGUCACGGUUAGCUUUUUGGUGAGCGGCCAAUGCUCAUUUUUGAAAUCAGCUCUGUACAUAGUUGCACAGUGUUUGGGGGCUAUAGCUGGUAUAUACCUUCUAGAAUUCGUUACUCCAGACGCAGUAACUAAAGGUUUAGGUAAAACAGCCGUAAACACUUUGCUUCAACCCGGACAAGGAUUUGUUGUAGAAGCAUUCAUUACCCUUAUUCUAGUCUUGGUUAUUCACUCGGUUUGUGAUGAAGCCAACCGAAGCAACAUAGUUACGCCAUCCAUUUCUAUAGGUCUGACCAUUGCUGCCGCCCAUUUAGCAGCGAUUAAAUAUACAGGAGCUAGCAUGAACCCAGCAAGAUCUUUAGGCCCAGCCGUUGCUCUUGGCUUUUGGACAAACCAUUGGGUAUAUUGGAUCGGACCUAUUGUUGGUGGUAUACUUGGAGGAACCAUCCACACUUUUGUGUUGAAACGUCAUACUGAAGAGACAUCAAACCAUACAAUUAAAUUGAGUGCAUUCUAGUUAUUAAAUCAACGAUGAAAUGAAACUAUAUUACCUAUUUUAUUGCCUAUUUGUAAUAAUGUGAAUUAAAAUAUUCUUACAGUAAUGGUGUAAACUCAAUAUCCAUUUAUACAAUCCUAGUGCUUGAUGGUCAAUAGUUGAUAAUCAUUAAUCUAACAUAGAAUCUAAUUUUAAAAAAAAUAUAUUAUUUUAUAUAUUUUAUGAUUAUAUACAAAAUUCAGCCUGUUAAUUCUUAUUAAUAAUAAACCAAUUUAAAAUUA